rnacentral:rRNA from 1 species
CNGUAAACGAUGGGUACUAGGUGUAGGAGGUAUCGACCCCUUCUGUGCCGGAGUUAACNCAAUAAGUACCCCGCCUGGGGAGUACGACCGCAAGGUUGAAACUCAAAGGAAUUGACGGGGGCCCGCACAAGCGGUGGAGUAUGUGGUUUAAUUNGACGCAACGCGAAGANCCUUACCAGGUCUUGACAUUGAUGGACAGAACCAGAGAUGGUUCCUCUUCUUCGGAAGCCAGAAAACAGGUGGUGCACGGUUGUCGUCAGCUCGUGUCGUGAGAUGUUGGGUUAAGUCCCGCAACGAGCGCAACCCCUAUCUUAUGUUGCCAGCACUUCGGGUGGGGACUCAUGAGAGACUGCCGCAGACAAUGCGGAGGAAGGCGGGGAUGACGUCAAAUCAUCAUGCCCCUUAUGACCUGGGCUACACACGUACUACAAUGGGAGUUAAUAGACGGAAGCGAGAUCGCGAGAUGGAGCAAACCCGAGAAACACUCUCUCAGUUCGGAUCGUAGGCUGCAACUCGCCUACGUGAAGUCGGAAUCGCUAGUAAUCGCAGGUCAGCAUACUGCGGUGAAUACGUUCCCGGGCCUUGUACACACCGCCCGUCACACCACGAAAGUCGGAAGUGCCCAAAGCCGGUGGGGUAACCUUCGGGANCCAGCC